GGCGUGCUAAUACAUGCAAGUCGAGCGGAUCUUCAUUAGCUUGCUUUUGAAGAUCAGCGGCGGACGGGUGAGUAACACGUGGGCAACCUGCCUGUAAGACUGGGAUAACUUCGGGAAACCGGAGCUAAUACCGGAUAAUCCUUUCCCUCUCAUGAGGGAAAGCUGAAAGACGGUUUCGGCUGUCACUUACAGAUGGGCCCGCGGCGCAUUAGCUAGUUGGUGAGGUAACGGCUCACCAAGGCAACGAUGCGUAGCCGACCUGAGAGGGUGAUCGGCCACACUGGGACUGAGACACGGCCCAGACUCCUACGGGAGGCAGCAGUAGGGAAUCUUCCGCAAUGGACGAAAGUCUGACGGAGCAACGCCGCGUGAACGAUGAAGGCCUUCGGGUCGUAAAGUUCUGUUGUCAGGGAAGAACAAGUAUCGGAGUAACUGCCGGUACCUUGACGGUACCUGACCAGAAAGCCACGGCUAACUACGUGCCAGCAGCCGCGGUAAUACGUAGGUGGCAAGCGUUGUCCGGAAUUAUUGGGCGUAAAGCGCGCGCAGGCGGUUCCUUAAGUCUGAUGUGAAAGCCCCCGGCUCAACCGGGGAGGGUCAUUGGAAACUGGGGAACUUGAGUGCAGAAGAGGAGAGCGGAAUUCCACGUGUAGCGGUGAAAUGCGUAGAGAUGUGGAGGAACACCAGUGGCGAAGGCGGCUCUCUGGUCUGUAACUGACGCUGAGGCGCGAAAGCGUGGGGAGCGAACAGGAUUAGAUACCCUGGUAGUCCACGCCGUAAACGAUGAGUGCUAAGUGUUAGAGGGUUUCCGCCCUUUAGUGCUGCAGCAAACGCAUGAAGCACUCCGCCUGGGGAGUACGGCCGCAAGGCUGAAACUCAAAGGAAUUGACGGGGGCCCGCACAAGCGGUGGAGCAUGUGGUUUAAUUCGAAGCAACGCGAAGAACCUUACCAGGUCUUGACAUCCUCUGACAACCCUAGAGAUAGGGCGUUCCCCUUUCGGGGGACAGAGUGACAGGUGGUGCAUGGGUUGUCGUCAGCUCGUGUCGGUGAGAUGUUGGGGUUAAGUCCCGCCAACGAGCGCAACACCUUGGAUCUUUAGUUUGCCAAGCAUUCAGUGUGGGGCACUCUAAAGGGUGACCUGCCGGGGU
rnacentral:rRNA from 1 species